rnacentral:rRNA from 1 species
UACCAGCUCUCCGAGUGGUAGGGAUGAUUAUUGGGCUUAAAGCGUCCGUAGCCGGCUUAGCAAGUCUCCUGUUAAAUUCAGCGACCUAAUCGUUGAGCCGCGGGAGACACUACUAGGCUAGGAGGCGGGAGAGGCCGACGGUAUUCUCGGGGUAGGGGUGAAAUGCUAUAAUCCCGGGAGGACCACCAGUGGCGAAGGCUGUCGGCUAGAACGCGCUCGACGGUGAGGGACGAAAGCUGGGGGAGCGAACCGGAUUAGAUACCCGGGUAGUCCCAGCUGUAAACGAUGCGGGCUAGGUGUUGGGGUGGCUACGAGCCACUUCAGUGCCGCAGGGAAGCCAUUAAGCCCGCCGCCUGGGGAGUACGGCCGCAAGGCUGAAACUUAAAGGAGUUGGCGGGGGAGCACCACAAGGCGUGAAGCUUGCGGUUC